rnacentral:rRNA from 1 species
ACGCUCGACACCUACGGGAGGCAGCAGUGGGGAAUAUUGCACAAUGGGGGAAACCCUGAUGCAGCAACGCCGCGUGAAGGAAGACGGUUUUCGGAUUGUAAACUUCUGUUCUUAGUGAAGAUAGUGACGGUAGCUAAGGAGCAAGCCACGGCUAACUACGUGCCCGCAGCCGCGGUAAUCUGAGCGGGCUGGCAAGGC